UACAGAGACUGCAAGCGUUAUUCGGAUUCACUGGGCGUAAAGGGUGCGCAGGCGGCCAAGUGUGUGAGGCGUGAAAGCCCGGGGCUUAACCCCGGAAUUGCACCUCAAACUACAUGGCUAGAGCAUUGGAGAGGGUAGCAGAAUUCAUGGUGUAACAGUGAAAUGCGUAGAUAUCAUGAGGAAUACCAGAGGCGAAGGCGGCUACCUGGACAAUUGCUGACGCUCAGGCACGAAAGCGUGGGGAGCAAAAGGG
rnacentral:rRNA from 1 species